UCGAAAGCCGCGCUGCGAUUCAUGCUUGCAUGAAGGAGCAGACAAGGCUUUACGACACGCCCCACGCAUGAGGAAAAAAGAGUGGAGAAGCCACUCGAUUUCCGAAUGCGAGGGAGGAUUGCGGGAGCUGCGUGCAGCGGAGCAAUCCGG
rnacentral:sRNA from 1 species